rnacentral:rRNA from 1 species
AUUUCCGCGCACAUCAGGGAAGUUGAUUUUUAUCCUAAGACAUAUACUGCUUAUCAUAUUUUAUAUAUAAUGCAUAUAACUAUUGCAUCCGUUGAAAGAAGCUUUACAAAGAUACAAUUAUCGAAGAACUAUUUGAGAUCAACAAUGACUCAAAAGAGUUUACAUGGUUUGUCAACAUUAUGCAUCGAGAAGAAAUUAUUUGAUUGGACUUACAUAAAUCCUAUCAUAAGUGACAUUGCAUCGAGGAAGGUUAGAAUUUUUAAAAGGUAA